AAGCUCGUAGUUGAAUUUCGGGAUCAGACUGUCGGUCGUGCCUCGGUACGCACUGGCAUUAUUGGUUCCUACCUUCUGAAGAACCGCGAUGUCAUUAAUUUGGUGUCGUGGGGAAUCAGGACUGUUACUUUGAAAAAAUUAGAGUGUUUAAAGCAGGCUUACGCUUGAAUACAUUAGCAUGGAAUAAUGAAAUAGGACGUUUGAUUCUAUUUUGUUGGUUUCUAGGAUCGACGUAAUGAUUAAUAGGGAUAGUUGGG
rnacentral:rRNA from 1 species